rnacentral:rRNA from 1 species
GACGAACGCUGGCGGCGUGCCUAAUACAUGCAAGUCGAACGCUUUUUCUUUCACCGGAGCUUGCUCCACCGAAAGAAAAGGAGUGGCGAACGGGUGAGUAACACGUGGGUAACCUGCCCAUCAGAAGGGGAUAACACUUGGAAACAGGUGCUAAUACCGUAUAACAAUCGAAACCGCAUGGUUUCGGUUUGAAAGGCGCUUUUGCGUCACUGAUGGAUGGACCCGCGGUGCAUUAGCUAGUUGGUGAGGUAACGGCUCACCAAGGCAACGAUGCAUAGCCGACCUGAGAGGGUGAUCGGCCACAUUGGGACUGAGACACGGCCCAAACUCCUACGGGAGGCAGCAGUAGGGAAUCUUCGGCAAUGGACGGAAGUCUGACCGAGCAACGCCGCGUGAGUGAAGAAGGUUUUCGGAUCGUAAAACUCUGUUGUUAGAGAAGAACAAGGAUGAGAGUAGAAUGUUCAUCCCUUGACGGUAUCUAACCAGAAAGCCACGGCUAACUACGUGCCAGCAGCCGCGGUAAUACGUAGGUGGCAAGCGUUGUCCGGAUUUAUUGGGCGUAAAGCGAGCGCAGGCGGUUUCUUAAGUCUGAUGUGAAAGCCCCCGGCUCAACCGGGGAGGGUCAUUGGAAACUGGGAAACUUGAGUGCAGAAGAGGAGAGUGGAAUUCCAUGUGUAGCGGUGAAAUGCGUAGAUAUAUGGAGGAACACCAGUGGCGAAGGCGGCUCUCUGGUCUGUAACUGACGCUGAGGCUCG